UACGUAGGUGGCAAGCGUUGUCCGGAUUUAUUGGGUUUAAAGGGUGCGUAGGCGGACAGGUAAGUCAGUGGUGAAAUCUCUGAGCUUAACUCAGAAACUGCCGUUGAUACUAUUUGUCUUGAAUAUCAUGGAGGUAGGCGGAAUAUGUCAUGUAGCGGUGAAAUGCUUAGAUAUGACAUAGAACACCGAUAGCGAAGGCAGCUUACUACAUGAAGAUUGACGCCGAGGCACGAAAGCGUGGGGAGCAAACAGG
rnacentral:rRNA from 1 species